AAUAGAUACCCGGGUAGUCCACGCCGUAAACGAUGGAUGCUAGCCGUUGGAUAGCUUGCUAUUCGGUGGCGCAGCUAACGCAUUAAGCAUCCCGCCUGGGGAGUACGGCCGCAAGGUUAAAACUCAAAGGAAUUGACGGGGGCCCGCACAAGCGGUGGAGCAUGUGGUUUAAUUCGACGCAACGCGAAGAACCUUACCAGCUCUUGACAUUCACUGAUUGCCGGCAGAGAUGCCGGAGUUCCAGCAAUGGACAGUGGGACAGGUGCUGCAUGGCUGUCGUCAGCUCGCGUCGUGAGAUGUUGGGUUAAGUCCCGCAACGAGCGCAACCCUCGCCAUUAGUUGCCAUCAUUUAGUUGGGCACGUCUAAUGGGACUGCCGGUGAUAAGCCGGAGGAAGGUGGGGAUGACGUCAAGUCACCAUGGCCCUUACGGGCUGGGCUACACACGUGCUACAAUGGCGGUGACAAUGCGCAGCCACCUAGCAAUAGGGAGCUAAUCGCAAAAGCCGU
rnacentral:rRNA from 1 species